rnacentral:rRNA from 1 species
CCCUUAGAUGUCCUGGGCCGCACGCGCGCUACACUGAGUGUCUGAGAUACGAGUCUGCCUGGUCCGGCAAGGUCUAGGUAAUCGCUAAAAGACACAUCAUGCUUGGGAUAGAUUAUUGCAAAUAUUAAUCUUGAACGAGGAAUUCCUAGUAAGCGCAAGUCAACAGCUUGCGUUGAUUACGUCCCUGCCCUUUGUACACACCGCCCGUCGCUACUACUGAUUGGAUGGUCCGGUGAAGCCUCGGGAUUGUGGUUCUUGCCGCUUUAUUGUGGCGUGACCGCGAGAACUUGUCUAAACCUUAUCAUCUAGAGGAAGGUGAAGUCGUAACA